UUGCCAUAAAGUAUUCCACAUCCUUUGAUGGAUAGUUUGAUUAUCGAUUGGCAGUGGGUUCUUCCAGGGGGUAUACACGUAUAAAAGAAUCAAGUUGGCGUUACAGUUAGACGAUAGAAAUCACCAGGACACCUUCCUAUAAUAUUUGAGAGCCUUAAAAAGACAAAAAAAUGGAGAAAAUGAUGAAAGUAUUGCUAUUGGUAGUCGUCGUGGCUGUCGUACUCGAAACAACGUCGGCCUGCGGCUGCAAUUACCACAAUGGUGGCUGCAAUUUGGAUAGACCAGCCGAACGAGGAUUUGCUUGCAAAUGCUUUUACAGAGUAGGCUUUUGGACGUGCGUGGGUCGUCAAGUGGCUUGCAGUGACCCCAAUCACGAACUGUGCAAUUUCCCAACCCUGUCUAGAGAGGCGUGCGAAUUUGGCGGUGGAAACUGCAAAGGUUAUUAAUCCGCCUAAUUUUCGACCGUUCCGACCCGUCAAGUAUCUUUAUCACAUCACACAUAUUAUUUCAGAAAAUAAAAUGUUAUCAGCAGUCA